rnacentral:lncRNA from 1 species
UGGGGGUUCUAGGAUUUCUUAGUUCCUAUUUUGUGAGAGAGAAAAACAAAAGUGUUUUAUUCUUCUUCUUCCAUGCCAUCUCCUUCUUGAAAAGCUCUUUAUUUUGAUCUAAAAAUAUCCAUUUGAUCUAGAGAAAGAAGUUCUCAUCAGCCAUCUAGAGCCUUCAUCGUGAGCUAGCACUCCUGGGAAGGACGAUCUG